AUGAAGCAGGAUGGCCUGAAUCCAACGUCGAUCGUUUGCUCUAUUUAUAAAUAUGUCCUUUCUUGUGAAUCCAAGGCUGGCUAUGACCCCCACUCUACACUGAAGAAAACAGGGUCUCACUUCAUCUCCCAGGCUGGAGUACAGUGGUGCAACCCCAGCUCACUGCAACCCCGAUCUCCCAGUCUCAGUGAUCCUGCCUCAGCCUCCCGAGUAGCUGAGCUUGCAGCGGCAGGACUGAACCAGGGACGCCUUCCCUUCGUUUUCAGUGCCCGCUCCAAUGCCGGCCCUGCCACCAUCACGGAACAGGCCGUCAUCUACUUUGCCAAAAGCGUCCUGGCAGGAGGCAUGGCCGCCGCCAUCUCCAAGACCGCCGUGGCCCGGAUCCAACGGGUCAAGCUGCUGCUGCAAGCAGCACAAAGGCAUCGUGGACCUCAUCGUCCGCACCCCAGGGAGUAGGGCGUGCUGUCCUUUUGGAGGGGCAACCUGGCCAACGUCAUCCGCUACUUUCCACGCAAGUCCUCCACUUGGCCUUCGAGGAUCAGUACAAGCAAAUCUUCCUGGCGUUAGGGGGGUGGGGCGGGGGCAAGCACACACCUUUAGUUCCAGAGGUACUUUGCAAGUAAUCUGGCUCCCUGUGGUUCGGUCGGCGCGACCUCCCUCUGCUUCAUGCACCCCCGGGAUUUCGCCAGAACCCUCCCGGCAGCCGACGUGGGGAAAUCCGGCACGGAGCGCAUGUUCCAAGGCCUGGGAGACUGCCUGGCGAAGGUCACCAAGCCCAACAGCGUCCGGGGCCGGUACCAGGGCUCCAUGCAGGGCAUCAUCAUCUACCCGGCCGCCUACUUCUGCGUGUACUACACGGCCAAGGGCAUCCUCCCUGAUCCCAAGAACACGCACAUCGUGGGGAGCUUGAUGAUCGCGCAGACGGUGGCGCCCGUGGUCGGUGUGGUCUCCUACCCCUUCCACCCGGUGCAGCCGCGGAGGAUGAUGCAGUCCCGGCGCAAGGGAGCUGACAUAGGUACACGGGCACCACCGACUGUUGAAGGAAGAUCUUCAGAGACAGGCGGGCAAGGCCUUCUUCAAAUGUCCUCAGGGGAAAGGGGGGCGCCUUCCUGCUGGUCCUGGACGACGAGCUGAAGAAGGUCAUUUAAGGGACUCAGUUGCCUCCUUUACACACACAUCAAGGGAACCAAGAGAACCACGUAGAAUCCUCAGCCAUGCGGACCAUUGACCUUCGAGAAAUUCCAGUCGUCUUUUUCCCAGCCGGAUCCUCCCUGUAGAUGGCCAGGGAAGGCUCUAGAAAAGGGGUGCCUUGUGAUCCAACCAUUGGCACCCAAUGCCAUGUCUUGAUCACUGGGGGAAGGGAACCAUGGUGUCCUGACAGGCCCACAGGUGAAACACUCCAAUACUCAGACCUAGAGUCCAGCCAUUUGUAGGACCCAAGUCGUGUUUAAGUAUUUAUUUAAAACAAAAGAAUUAUGUUUCCCAUUUGUA